rnacentral:lncRNA from 1 species
ACUCCCUACCUCAUCCCUUUUAAAUCAAAGCUGGACCUGGCAACAUCUGUAGGUCAUUAAUGUUAUCUUCAGUGUCUGUGGCUCAUUGCUCUUAUAUAAACCCUCAGCUUAGGCUGGCUUGCAGCUUAUAGGAUGCUUUACUAAGGAAAAAGAUUGGGAGCACUUGGGGGAGGGGGAAUGAAGAAAUGGAAGCCCCUCACUUGGGGAAAAGGGAAGGUGUGCAAUCAACCAUGCUCCAGGAGGACACAUGAUUUCAGAUCUAGGGCUCAGAAACCAGUCUCUGCAUUCCCCUGUCCACUGAGUGGCACACAGUCCCUGCGCAAAUGGAUAGCCAUGGCUUGGAAGAGGACACAAUAGGAAUGCUUCGGCCUGUUUGGUGCUGAUGGAAUUGUGGUGAGGUUAAAGAAAAGAGGAGGUUCAGCGUGUACACAAACUGUCCAGUUUAUGAGGCAUCUGGUGCUGGUAUGAAAAAUAAAAUAUGGCUAUCAUGCA